rnacentral:rRNA from 1 species
UGGGGAAUUUUGCGCAAUGGGCGAAAGCCUGACGCAGCAACGCCGCGUGGAGGAUGAAGGCCUUCGGGUCGUAAACUCCUGUCAGUGGGGACGAAGGCCCCGAUGAGGGGAUUGACUGUACCUGCUGAGGAAGCCACGGCUAACUCCGUGCCAGCAGCCGCGGUAAUACGGAGGUGGCAAGCGUUGUUCGGAAUUACUGGGCGUAAAGGGCGCGUAGGCGGCAUGGCAAGUCGGAUGUGAAAUCCCCGGGCUCAACUCGGGAAUUGCAUCCGAAACUGCAGUGCUUGAGUUCUGGAGGGGAUAGUGGAAUUCCCAGUGUAGCGGUGAAAUGCGUAGAUAUUGGGAGGAACACCUGCGGCGAAGGCGGCUAUCUGGACAGAGACUGACGCUGAUGCGCGAAAGCCAGGGGAGCGAACGGG